UUACGGUCAUAUCAUGUUGAAACACCUGUUGCCGUACGAUCUCUGAAGUUAAGCAACGUCGAACCUAGUCAGUACCUAGCUGGGUGACCACUUGGGAAUACCAGAUGCUGUAAGC